rnacentral:rRNA from 1 species
SUGANAAACYCGAAAGGUCGAAAGGGGAAAUUUCAUUCGCGUUUCGGCUGUCGAAGUUGAAUGUAUGUAUGACGGAUGGCGUUUCGACGUCGUCUGCAUCUUGCGUUCUUCAAGUCGAUGUCGAACGCGUGCACUUUUCCUCUAGUAGAACGUCGCGAUCCGUUGGGUGUCUGUCUAAGGUGUGAGGUGUAGCCCACGCGAUUUUUGAUCGUGUGGACCCUCGAUAUCCCGACAGACUCGCUCGACGGUAUACUAAUGGCGCGAGGCCGCUACUUAAGUUAGCGUUCGGCCCGUAGCAAGCACGUUCUGCGUUWGAUGGWCAUCGGACCUGGUGCCGAUCCUGUCCCGGAACGACUGUUGGUUACGGNGUUCUCGAACAGACCUCNAUUAUGAAACGCCGAUCASCGACGCNAUAGAUUUGGGNACUUUCAGGACCCGUYUUGAAAC